rnacentral:rRNA from 1 species
AUUGAACGCUGGCGGCAGGCCUAACACAUGCAAGUCGAGCGGAUGAAGGGAGCUUGCUCCUGGAUUCAGCGGCGGACGGGUGAGUAAUGCCUAGGAAUCUGCCUGGUAGUGGGGGAUAACGUCCGGAAACGGGCGCUAAUACCGCAUACGUCCUGAGGGAGAAAGUGGGGGAUCUUCGGACCUCACGCUAUCAGAUGAGCCUAGGUCGGAUUAGCUAGUUGGUGGGGUAAAGGCCUACCAAGGCGACGAUCCGUAACUGGCCUGAAAGGAUGAUCAGUCACACUGGAACUGAGACACGGUCCAGACUCCUACGGGAGGCAGCAGUGGGGAAUAUUGGACAAUGGGCGAAAGCCUGAUCCAGCCAUGCCGCGUGUGUGAAGAAGGUCUUCGGAUUGUAAAGCACUUUAAGUUGGGAGGAAGGGCAGUAAGUUAAUACCUUGCUGUUUUGACGUUACCAACAGAAUAAGCACCGGCUAACUUCGUG